rnacentral:rRNA from 1 species
GACGAACGCUGGCGGCGUGCUUAACACAUGCAAGUCGAACGAAGUGGCGAACGGGUGAGUAAUACGUGGGUAACCUGCCCUCCUUUUUGGGAUAAGCCUUGGAAACGGGGUCUAAUACCUAAUACAGGGGGCUGGGCUCGCGGCCUAUCGGCUUGUUGGUGGGGUGAUGGCCUACCAAGGCGGUGCCGGGUAGCCGGCCUGAGAGGGGGACCGGGCACAGGGGGACGGAGAUACGGCCCAGGGGCGUACGGGGGGGAGCAGUGGGGGAGAUGGCACAAUGGGGGAAAGACUGAUGCAGCGAGGCCGCGUGGGGGAUGAGGGCUUUAGGGUUGUAAAGCUCGGUCGGUAGCGGGCGGGUAGGUGGAGAAGAAGCGCCGGCUAACUACGUGCCAGCAGCCGCGGUAAUUC